rnacentral:rRNA from 1 species
AGCGUAGACGGAAGAGCAAGUCUGAUGUGAAAGGCUGGGGCUUAACCCCAGGACUGCAUUGGAAACUGUUUUUCUUGAGUGCCGGAGAGGUAAGCGGAAUUCCUAGUGUAGCGGUGAAAUGCGUAGAUACUAGGAGGAACACCAGUGGCGAAGGCGGCCUACUGGGCACCAACUGACGCUGAGGCUCGAAAGUGUGGGUAGCAAACA